CUUCUACUAAGAUUCAUAAAUUUUAUCUAGGUACAUCUUACUCCAAAUAGCAAACUUGAACCUGCAAUAGCUAAUAUACACAAUAAGGAUACGAAUGACUAGGGAUCAAGAAAAUAUGCAGUCAAACUAAGUAGCUUCACUGCAAAUAGCAAACAUACCGUAGAUCAAAGGAUCAGUCGCACUACUGCAGUAUUGACAAAAUCACUGACGAGUGAAUAGACAUCCAAGUAGUUUCUUAUAUUAGUCACGCUCAGUAUAAGUUAUUUCUAACAACGACCUGCACUCUCACCCCAAUGUCUCCACAACAUAGACUCGAGAUUCAUAUGCCCCAU
rnacentral:lncRNA from 1 species